AGCACGCUCUUGUUCACCACGACGAUGAGAAAGGAGCUCACGCCGUAAAAGCCGGCAGCCAGCAGCUUCAGGAACAAGGUCUCUUCUUUUAUCAAGUUUUCUGCCCCCAAAGGCAUCGUUCUAGCAUCUGUUGGCCACUCAUCCAAGAGAGUUCCCUUUGGCCAGAAAGCAGCAGUCAAUGGAUCACUAAUUAAGAUUCAGAAAAUUUUAAUCAUUCCAGACUGAUGGUGAUAUAACUUAUAUACCGGGAAAAUCUGUGCAUUUCCUUUCCUUUUCUCUAUAACUGGACUGAUAAUAUGGAGCAGAGAAUUCUGGAGUGCCCAAAGCAGGUCCUUUGAAUGAUGACGGAGUUGGUUGGGAUAUUCUGAUCCAUGGUAUCAUGUGUCCUGUCUAAACAAAAAAGAUCACUGCUUCAGAGACCUCAGUACUCUAUUAACCCUAGCUACUGCUGUAAUUUUCUAAAGCCACUGGCACUAAGAUGGCAUGGCUGAGGUGGUGAAUGGAGGGCUGCAUUUCCCAUGAUGCCCAGGUCCAGAGAAUGAGUGUUCA